UCUGCAUUUCAUCGAGGACCUGCUCAGUUCGAACACCCGGAGCUGCUCAGCCUGGGAUGUGGUGGGGCACAUCUUCACUGAGUUCAGCCGCACCGCUGGAAGAAGGGCAGCUGGAGACCUUUCUGCCCGGGAAGCCCAGGAGGAAGGAGCUCUGCAGGAGCUGUGCAUGGACAUCCUGGGGUCUCUGGACGUCUCUGCGACAGGGAUGUCCAAACUCCUGUGGCCACGGCUGCUGCUGUUCGUGGUGCCAGCCCAGCACACCGGCAUGCUGAUCCCGGUCUCGCGCUGUGUCCGAGCCCUGGCCGAGAGAGAGGAUCUGACAGGACGGCGAGUAGAGGAGCUGGAUCCCCAUUUCCUCAGCUCCAUGUUUCAA